GAUGAACGCUGGCGGCGUGCCUAAUACAUGCAAGUCGAGCGAACAGACGAGGAGCUUGCUCCUCUGAUGUUAGCGGCGGACGGGUGAGUAACACGUGGAUAACCUACCUAUAAGACUGGGAUAACUUCGGGAAACCGGAGCUAAUACCGGAUAACAUGUUGAACCGCAUGGUUCAACAGUGAAAGACGGUCUUGCUGUCACUUAUAGAUGGAUCCGCGCCGCAUUAGCUAGUUGGUAAGGUAACGGCUUACCAAGGCAACGAUGCGUAGCCGACCUGAGAGGGUGAUCGGCCACACUGGAACUGAGACACGGUCCAGACUCCUACGGGAGGCAGCAGUAGGGAAUCUUCCGCAAUGGGCGAAAGCCUGACGGAGCAACGCCGCGUGAGUGAAGAAGGUCUUCGGAUCGUAAAACUCUGUUAUUAGGGAAGAACAAAUGUGUAGGUAACUAUGCACGUCUUGACGGUACCUAAUCAGAAAGCCACGGCUAACUACGUG
rnacentral:rRNA from 1 species